rnacentral:rRNA from 1 species
UUUGGUGGCGACCGGCGCACGGGUGAGUAACACGUAUCCAACCUGCCGAUGACUCGGGGAUAGCCUUUCGAAAGAAAGAUUAAUACCCGAUGGCAUAGUUCUUCCGCAUGGUAGAACUAUUAAAGAAUUUCGGUCAUCGAUGGGGAUGCGUUCCAUUAGGUUGUUGGCGGGGUAACGGCCCACCAAGCCUUCGAUGGAUAGGGGUUCUGAGAGGAAGGUCCCCCACAUUGGAACUGAGACACGGUCCAA